UACGUAGGGAGCAAGCGUUGUCCGGAAUCAUUGGGCGUAAAGAGCGUGUAGGCGGUCCUGUAAGUCCGCUGUGAAAGUCAAGGGCUCAACCCUUGAAUGCCGGUGGAUACUGCAGGACUAGAGUCCGGAAGAGGCGAGUGGAAUUCCUGGUGUAGCGGUGAAAUGCGCAGAUAUCGAGAGGAACACCGAUGGCGAAGGCAGGUCUCUGGGCCACUACUGACGCUGAGAAGCGAAAGCAUGGGGAGCGAACAGG
rnacentral:rRNA from 1 species